rnacentral:rRNA from 1 species
GAUGAACGCUGGCGGCGUGCCUAAUACAUGCAAGUCGAGCGAACAGACGAGGAGCUUGCUCCUCUGACGUUAGCGGCGGACGGGUGAGUAACACGUGGAUAACCUACCUAUAAGACUGGGAUAACUUCGGGAAACCGGAGCUAAUACCGGAUAAUAUAUUGAACCGCAUGGUUCAAUAGUGAAAGACGGCUUUGCUGUCACUUAUAGAUGGAUCCGCGCUGCAUUAGCUAGUUGGUAAGGUAACGGCUUACCAAGGCAACGAUGCGUAGCCGACCUGAGAGGGUGAUCGGCCACACUGGAACUGAGACACGGUCCAGACUCCUACGGGAGGCAGCAGUAGGGAAUCGUCCGCAAUGGGCGAAAGCCUGACGGAGCGACGCCGCGUGAGUGAUGAAGGUCUUCGGAUCGUAAAACUCUGUUAUGAGGGAAGAACAAAUGUGGAAGUAACUAUGCACGUCUUGACGGUACCUAAUCAGAAAGCCACGGCUAACUACGUG